rnacentral:rRNA from 1 species
UACGGAGGGUGCAAGCGUUGUCCGGAAUUAUUGGGCGUAAAGAGCUCGUAGGCGGCUUGUCACGUCGGGUGUGAAAGCCCGGGGCUUAACCCCGGGUCUGCAUUCGAUACGGGCUAGCUAGAGUGUGGUAGGGGAGAUCGGAAUUCCUGGUGUAGCGGUGAAAUGCGCAGAUAUCAGGAGGAACACCGGUGGCGAAGGCGGAUCUCUGGGCCAUUACUGACGCUGAGGAGCGAAAGCGUGGGGAGCGAACAGG